UCCCCCAAUUACCCAAGACAAGUCAGAUGCUUCUGAUUACCAGCAUCCGCUAGUCUUACUGGCGGACGGAUAUUGGGGAGACCGUAGCGAUUUGGGUAAAAUGCGAUUUCUCUGCGAUUUGGGCGAAUAAAGGGGUAGCGAUUUGGGCGAACUACGAUUUGGGUGAACAAAGGGGUUACGCUACAGAGGUAAUACGCUUAAGCUUAUAGUGCAAUUUGGGCGAACUGCUUCAAUGGAAAAUCACAGCACAUCAGAGGUAUGUUGAGUUUAUUUGAGAUUUUCGUAAAAUUGGUGGGUUACUAUACAUGGCUUGAAACAUUUAUCUAUGUUAAUGAAUUUCUUACGGCACUCAUUGCUGAAACCGGAGCGACCAGAUAUUCAUUUAUGUUGCAGAUUAAUGAAGGUUGAAGAUUGGCUUGUAACUGUGCUAAACAUCGCAGGUCAUCCAAUAUUAUUCUUGUAAUAGCAAUUGGGGUUGUGGGUCUCUUUGUCGGGUGGCUGAUUGAGUUAGUUACCCAUUUUAGGACAUUUUCAUUUUCUGCAGAGUUCUCUUUAAAUAUACUUCAAAGGUGAGUUACCAUCUCAUAUCUUAAUAAAGAAUGCCGUUUUUUGUUUAGAAUUUGAUUUUCUUAAGCUAGAGAUACAAUUAGCUUGUGCAAUAAAAGUUUUGUAUGGAUAGAUAUUUGCAUCAUAGUUGUUCUUGUUCGGAGGUGCUUGGAAAUCUUCUAGUUGUAUGUAUAAAUCAUAAUGGAGCAUCUCCUUAAAUAAUGAUUGUAAUGGAGCUUAGCAUUAACUGCAGUUGGCUAAGUCUUAAGGUAUGGAUUCAAAAUGUUAUCAAGCCUUUUUUAAAGCGUUUCCGCUGGGGUUUCAUACUAGCAGGGUUGACUGCACUCGCAAUGGCUGCCAUAAGCUGGGAACUUGAAACCAGUGAAAAUUACUGGAUUUGGCGCAGGUAUGAUAAAAAUCACAAGCCUCUUUCUCUAUCUCUACACACACACAUAAAUAUCUCAUACUUUCAUAAACUGGUUUUUUAGUAUGUGGCAUAUUUCCAUAUACACUUCUUCCUUUCUCUUCCUCUGUUCAGAAGCAAAACUGGUAGAUGGUGAGGAUCAGAGACCUCCAGCUGUGAACUAUGAGUUAACUCGAUAAGAUUCAUUCUCGAGAGGGCAUUAGAAAAAGGGGUAUAUCAGGUAGAUUAUUUGAAAAAUCGAGUUAAGAGGAAGAAUUAUUUUCACAGAAUAUAGACUGGAGCCUGUAGGUGCCGAUGCAAAAUGAGACAAUUUGAUUGCAUCAACUGAAGGAGAAAUGUCAACAGUUUUCUCUUGUAUAUUAUUUACAUAACGAGUUAUGUCCUUUAGGGGAGUUAAAUAACUACACAUGAUCACUUUUUUAUUCGUAGACAUUUCUCUAGUAGGAGGUAAGGCAAAAAUGUCAACAGAGCCUACUGAAGAGACUGAAUUAGAUAGGCAGCCAUAGUCUUUGUAAAUGGCAAGUGCUACAUAUAGUGUAUAUUUUGUUGUAGCUCCACAAUUUUGUAUUGUUUUUAUCAAUUAAAUGGUAGACAUAUUUAUUUAUUUAUUAGAGUUUGUGGUGUGACUUCUGC
rnacentral:lncRNA from 1 species